AAGCCGCGAAACCCUCCACACUCGCGGUUCACGGCCUACGCGGGCUUUCGCGCCGCGAGCGUGGAGCCCGCUUUAAAUAAUAAAGACCG